GCCCUGAGUGAAAAGUCCAAACACAUUUAUCUACCAUUCGAAGACGCUUUAUUGUCUGUCCUCUGCACAUCUCAGUAGUCUCUUUUUACCACACUGUCUAUAUACUGCAUGAGCCAUUUAUAUGAAACUAUCUGACACUCCAAGGCAUCUUGUACUAUAUAUUCAACUAUGUAUCCCUAGUACCUAGCACAGUCCUGGCAUAUAGUUUGCUACUAAACUUUUACAGAAUGAAGGAAUUAUCUUGUAUCCAGGUUCCAAGUUUUAAGGUGAUUCUUCAGUAAAAAAAAGUAUUACAGUUCACAAAUAAUCUACUUCCCUUUUUACAAAUGGGAUCAAUUUUAAUCUUA
rnacentral:lncRNA from 1 species